rnacentral:rRNA from 1 species
GGUCUCAGUUCAGAUUGCAGGCUGCAACCCGCCUGCAUGAAGUCGGAAUUGCUAGUAAUCGCGGAUCAGCAUGCCGCGGUGAAUAGUUCCCGGGCCUUGUACACACCGCCCGUCAAGCCAUGGGAGCCGGGGGGUACCUGAAGUCCGUAACCGCGAGGAUCGGCCUAGGGUAAAACUGGUGACUGGGGCUAAGUCGUAACAAGGUACC